AGAGGAGAGAAGAGACAGACAUAAACACAGAGGCAGACAUCCCAGACUGAGAAUUCAGCUUUAAAGCGUUUUUCUUCCAAGGGCCUAUUUUAAAGCUCCUGAGAGAAAAAAUGUUCGGAAGUAACAACAUCAACAAACUCAUGUAUAACAUCACACAUGCUUUAACACUACUGUGAAGUUAUAUAAAACUCCUUAUAUAAGCUCAGCUCUGAUCAACAUCCAGAAACACAACCACAAAGCAAACAAACAAACACUCUGGGACUGAUGGACCUCGAAAUGAACAUCCAAAGAUGCAACAUGACGACAUGAAGCAUCUGAGAUUUCUUCUGCCUCCCUCACUGAACUGCACAUACAGAUUGCACCUGAGCUGUGGCUGGAGUGUAGACGUCACUUGCAGCCAGUAGAAAAACAUCACCUGGAGACAAACAGUGCUGUGUGGCCUCUAAAGAAAACUGUUGAGCAUACACAUAUUUCUGGACGUAAACAUAAACUCUCUGGACUUCUUAAUUUUCCUCAUGAAUGCAGGAUCUUCAUCAAUUUUUAAUAGUAUAUCCACUCAGAAGUCUUCCCUUUAUAUUUUUGUAAACACACAAACACAGCUAAAUAGACACGGAGAGCUUCAAGUGUCACACACACACACAAGCACAGCAGGUGAGAGGAGGGACGUUAAACUGUGCCACUAUUGUCCAUAUGUAUGUCUCUGUUUGUGUUUGCAGUUUUGGAGCCCCGCCUUUGCUCAUUCAUAAACUAGCACACCUUUAUACCUUGUAACUCAUCCAAAACAAUAGCGUGGUUUAGCUCAAGGGUAUUAUGAUCAGCGUUGUUAAAGUAAAACUGGUUCAGCGGUGCCUGAUGGAUUUAACGUCACAUUUUCAUUCAGAGACAGACCUGAACUUCCAGAUGAUGCGGCUCUUACUCAGCUUCUCUUUUUUGUUCAGGAUCAACUCACAGCUUCCUCUGAUGGCUGCAGAGGGAAGAAGAAAAGAGGAAGCCGUUACAGAUCAAACACAAACAGACAGUGUUUGCUCAGAGUCUGAACCACACACUCGCGGACACAGACAAGGAAGGGAAAGAGGAAAAAAAGGAUUUAAUAGAUUCUUUUUAAAAGAGGUAAUCAUGAGAGAAGGGAAAGUGUUUAAACCCAGAGUUAGAGAAAAGUUGUGUUUUUAUUUGGGAAUCAAGUAGCUUCAGAGAUGAUUUGCUUUGGGUUUGCAGCACUAAUCUUUAAACUAAUAACUUCAGGUAAUGUAAGAAAGAAUAUGUGUGAUAUUUAAUGGUCCUGAACCUCAGUUUACAAUGUGCUAAAGGGAGAAACUGGGAACUUUGAGGGGAAAUAAAGAGCAGAAACCCAAAGAAUGAGACCAAACAAGGCAGGUUUUUGUAAGUGGAGAUAGACAAUUCAUUGUUACUGCGUACAUUACUCUAAGUAGAUUAAAGUAUAGACAUAGACACAGUGAUGCCUUCUGUUUGGAAAGCAGAGUUUUGAAGCCUAUGGGUAGCAAUCGACAUAUUAGAAAUACUUACUCAACCUAACUCCUUACAAACAUCUACAAUGAGCCCACCUGCCAGUGAAGUCAGCUCUUAUUUGUAACCUUUAUACCUUGAAAUGAUUGUGUUAUCAAUAUAUUGCACUGACCAGUCUUUUCUGAGAAUCCCUGAGCUCCCUCACCCUGUAGGUUUUUCUGGAUCGUUGUUGCAAAUAUCUUACUGCUACGGACCUGCGUGCCAAACCCCAUUUCUUACCUCGACGUCAUCAAUGCCAGUGCUAUGACUGAUAUGCUAUCUGCUCAAAGUUUCUGCUAAAGGAAGUUUUUCCUCUCCACUGUCACUUGCCAAAUGUUACACUUAAGUCGAUGAAGAUGGAAGUGGGUCUGAUCUUUCAAGAUGUUGGGUCUUCCCACAUAAAUCAUUCACAGUAUGGUCUGGACGGGCUCUUUUUGCCAAGGGUCUUGAGAUAACACUUUUACAAACUCAUGCUAUAUACUGUACAUAAAGAUUGAUUAGUUAGAGUGAUUGGCUGGGGUCAAGAAUAUUGCCCACAGACACCUUAGCAUGUCAACAGCAGGGUCUUAGAUCAAACCCUUGACCUUCUGAUUUAAAGAUGUCAGACUCCACCACUGAGCCACAGCCACUGUUCACUUAGCAAAUUAACUGAGUGGAGAACUGGUUUUAUGGGAAAGGCUGCUCAGUAUGCAACAAGUGAAGCAGCCACACAUCUUAUGGCGUCUUAUCCAUGUUUGUUUGGUCCGCACACAUCAUCUUGAACACUUACCAAACCCUCAAACACUGUCCGGCUUGUAGGCGUGGAUGUGUUGAUCAGGGUGUGUUUGCAGCAGAGAUUUAGCAGCAUUGUUGUCACUCACAGGUUCAGUCAGGUUGUUCUUGUUGUUCUAAAUAUGUCCACCACCCUUAAGUUUCAGCCAGUGUCCUCAAUCCAUGAAUCGUAUGAUACUGUAAGAAGUCAAUAUUUAUUAUGUCAAUGCCACGUCAUCAAGACUGUAAUAAGGCAGACCUCACACUAAAAGAGGCUUGGUAAGAGUUUUAAACUUUGGUAACAUUAAGAGGAACUCAACUGCAAACACAACAUUAUAACAUCACAUUUUGGCAAACAGUUUCCUAUUUCCAAAUCCUCAAACAUGGAGAAACAUCAGCUUUCAUUUGGAGGCUGUUUUUGGAAACCUUACACUGAUGACUGAUUUUACUUUAAGCUUUGUUUUGGGUCUCCUCCUCUCCUCAGAUAGUACUGAUGUCCUCUCCAAUACUGGCAUUUUUAGAAGUCUUUGAGCCCCGAUUGAGCAUCGUUGACCCAAACCG
rnacentral:lncRNA from 1 species